rnacentral:rRNA from 1 species
CUUAAUUGCAUCAUUCAAGUUUGGGGCACUUUAGAGAGACUGCCGGUGUUAGGCCGGAGAAGGUGGGAUGACGUCAAGUCCUCAUGGCCUUUAUGUCUAGGGCUACACACGUGCUACAAUGGGUGGUACAAAGAGCAGCUAACUCGCGAGAGUAUGCAAAUCUCAAAAAGCCAUCCUCAGUUCGGAUUGGAGUCUGCAACUCGACUCCAUGAAGUUGGAAUCGCUAGUAAUCGCGGAUCAGCAUGCCGCGGUGAAUUACCGGUUCCCGGGCCUU